UGCCCCAGUAACGGCGAGUGAAGCGGCAACAGCUCAAAUCUGAAAUCUGGCCCCCCGGGCCCGAGUUGUAAUUUGCAGAGGAUGCUUUUGGUGAGGCACCUACCGAGUCCCCUGGAAUGGGGCGCCAUAGAGGGUGAGAGCCCCGUAUGGUAGGACGCCGAACCUCUGUAAAGCUCCUUCGACGAGUCGAGUAGUUUGGGAAUGCUGCUCUAAAUGGGAGGUAAAUUUCUUCUAAAGCUAAAUACCGGCCAGAGACCGAUAGCGCACAAGUAGAGUGAUCGAAAGAUGAAAAGCACUUUGAAAAGAGGGUUAAAAAGUACGUGAAAUUGUUGAAAGGGAAGCGCUUGUGACCAGACUUGCGCCGGGCGGAUCAUCCAGCGUUCUCGCUGGUGCACUCCGCCCGGUUCAGGCCAGCAUCGGUUUUCGCCGGGGGACAAAGGCUUCGGGAACGUGGCUCCUUUCGGGGAGUGUUAUAGCCCGUUGCGUAAUACCCCGGCGGGGACCGACGACCGCGCUUCGGCAAGGAUGCUGGCGUAAUGGUCAUCAGCGACCCGUCUUGAAACACGGACCGAGGAGUCAAGCAUUAGUGCGAGUGUUUGGGUGUAAAACCCGCACGCGUAAUGAAAGUGAACGUAGGUGAGAGCUUCGGCGCAUCAUCGACCGAUCCUGAUGUUUUCGGAAGGAUUUGAGUAGGAGCAUUAACGCUUGGACCCGAAAGAUGGUGAACUAUACUUGAAUAGGGUGAAGCCA
rnacentral:rRNA from 1 species